CCAGCGCUCCUUCUUCCAGGUGUCCUUGACCGACUUCUUGCCGGCGUUCGUGUGGGUGGCCUUGAGGACAACGCAGAGGUGACUUCCUCAAUCUCGACCUUUGACUUCUGGUGAUUGUCUUUUGAAGUGUCAAAGCGAAUCGCCUUCUGCUGGCUUGGCUGCUGCCGCGUGAACGUCGCCCGCCCAGCCCCACGAUGACCAUGGCGAAACUGCUCGCUGACCCUCAGGCUGGUGGGAGCCGCCGGCUCCCUGGUUGGUGCUACUUGACGCCUGAGGCUGCUGCUGACCCAACCACGGUGCUCCAGGCCAGCCAUAAGCUGGCAAGAAAGGCGGGUAACACCAGGGCAUUGGGAACCCUCCCCACGCCGCCGCCUGCGGCGCAACCUCUGCAUCUCUUCUGCUCGUUGUGCUGCAAGCCGCGCUUCCUUAAGAUUAUUCGGCUCACGCUGGUUUACCACGCGGAAGAGAUCCGGCCGAAGACCGCUAAGGAACUGUGACAAGCAGCGCUCGUCCCAGACAUCAUCGUCCAAUCUGCGCCCCCUGUCAGGUCUGAGAACUCCCUCUCCAACGCCGUUCCACUCGCCAUCGGUUUAAACUCGUCCCGAAAUGCUGUUCUCUGUGGUGCGAUGCCCGAGAGCGCUGCAUCAGACAGUCCUUCGACAAACUCCCUGGCUAGCUCACUUGUUCUCAUCUUAAGAGCCCAUCGCAGCUCUCCGGGCCCUGGUAAAUAGAAAGACAUAUACCCUUCGACCGCGGUUAGAAAGUCAUCCAGCGAGGACCCUUGACUCGAGCCAGAAAAUCGGGGCACCAUCUCUAAUGUCAUCGGCGGUGGCAAGAAGGGGAACGCCCCACCUGGCGGCCCAUAGCCACCUCUCCACCCCCCAUUAGGAAGAGCUGGGGGGGUUUGCCCCGGUUGAAAAUGCUGCGGGGGUUGCUGGAUAUGUUGGGGUGGGGGUUGCGGCUGCUGCUGCUCGCCGGCCGCAUUCCCCUGUUGAGGAUUCUCCACUGGCAUG